AUAUCAUGGCGUAAAGCACCACUUUUUAGGGAAGUUGUCUUCAAAACAACAUAGGAAUCGCCCGUGAAAAAUUUGCCAUAAGAAGACUUUGGGACGGGAACAGGACGAAAGUUUUCAAUCCGCCAUAUUUCAAGUCCCGCCUUCUGUCCAGCUCCUUGGAAAGCUGGAUCCAGAUCUCUCAUGGAAACAGCCAUAUUGUAUCUGCACUUCAGUUAUUUGUAUUUCCAACACUUUGGCUUGAUUACAGAAACAAGAGUGCCCUGCUAUUGGAGGAGAUAUCGCAAUAAAGAAGUAGCCCAGAUCCAAUCUAAUGACCAGAAUUAGGAGAGAACUAGCUUUUUUAUUUUUCUUCUAAUUUUCCCGGACUGGCAGAGGC
rnacentral:misc_RNA from 1 species